rnacentral:rRNA from 1 species
CGGUGUUUAACUGGCGUGAUGUGGGACGUCCUACCGGUGGGCUUAGCCUCGCGAGGGGCGGCCCAACUAAUAUCCCGUCGCGGUGCUCUUUACUGAGUGUCGAGUCGGGCCGGUACGUUUACUUUGAACAAAUUAGAGUGCUUAAAGCAGGCUAUCCUCGCCUGAAUACUGCGUGCAUGGAAUAAUGGAAUAGGACCUCGGUUCUAUUUUGUUGGUUUUCGGAACCCCGAGGUAAUGAUUAAUAGGGACAGAUGGGGGCAUUCGUAUUGCGACGUUAGAGGUGAAAUUCUUGGAUCGUCGCAAGACGGACAGAAGCGAAAGCAUUUGCCAAAAAUGUUUUCAUUAAUCAAGAACGAAAGUUAGAGGUUCGAAGGCGAUCAGAUACCGCCCUAGUUCUAACCAUAAACGAUGCCAGCUAGCGAUCCGCCGAAGUUCCUCCGAUGACUCGGCGGGCAGCUUCCGGGAAACCAAAGCUUUUGGGUUCCGGGGGAAGUAUGGUUGCAAAGCUGAAACUUAAAGGAAUUGACGGAAGGGCACCACCAGGAGUGGAGCCUGCGGCUUAAUUUGACUCAACACGGGAAACCUCACCAGGCCCAGACACCGGAAGGAUUGACAGAUUGAUAGCUCUUUCUUGAUUCGGUGGGUGGUAGUGCAUGGGCCGUUCUUAGUUGGUGGAGCGAUUUGUCUGGUUAAUUCCGAUAACGAACGAGACUCUAGCCUGCUAAAUAGGCGUACCUUAUGGUAUCGCGAAGGCCCCCGGCUUCGGCCGGUGGGUUUUUACUACCAACGUACAAACAAAUCUUCUUAGAGGGCACAGGCGG